AUGGCUCAGGAUGAACGCUGGCGGCGUGCCUAACACAUGCAAGUCGAGCGGAGAUAUUGAGAUGAUCUUCGAGUGAAUUCCUUAUCUUAGCGGCGGAUGGGUGAGUAACACGUGGGUAACCUGCCCUGCACAGGGGGAUAACAGCUGGAAACGGCUGUUAAUACCGCAUAUGCACACGCUGCCGCAUGGCAGAGGGUGGAAAGAUUUAUCGGUGCAGGAUGGGCCCGCGUCGGAUUAACUGGUUGGCAGGGUAACGGCCUACCAAGGUGAUGAUCCGUAGCCGACCUGAGAGGGUGACCGGCCACAUUGGGACUGAGACACGGCCCAAACUCCUACGGGAGGCAGCAGUGGGGGAUAUUGCACAAUGGGCGAAAGCCUGAUGCAGCGACGCCGCGUGAAGGAAGAAGUAUUUCGGUAUGUAAACUUCUAUCAGCGGGGAAGAAGAUGACGGUACCCGACUAAGAAGCCCCGGCUAACUACGUGCCAGCCGCUGC
rnacentral:rRNA from 1 species